rnacentral:rRNA from 1 species
GGCGAACGGGUUGCGUAACGCGUAUGCAACUUACCCACUACUGGGGGAUAGCCCGGGGAAACUCGGAUUAAUACCCCAUAACGCAGGGGAUUCGCAUGGAUCUAUUGUUAAAGAUUUAUCGGUAGUGGAUGGGCAUGCGUAGGAUUAGCUAGUUGGUAGUGUAAUGGACUACCAAGGCUGUGAUCCUUAGGGGGUCUGAGAGGAUGAUCCCCCACACUGGUACUGAGAUACGGACCAGACUCCUACGGGAGGCAGCAGUAGGGAAUAUUGGGCAAUGGGUGAGAGCCUGACCCAGCCAUGCCGCGUGCAGGAAGACGGCCCUCAGGGUUGUAAACUGCUUUUCUACGAGAAGAAAGAGGUUGUGCGCAACCAGUUGACGGUAUCGUAGGAAUAAGCACCGGCUAACUCCGUGCCAGCUCG